UUAAGUUAAGAUAGAAUUUUGAUUAUGAAAUUCUAGGACCAUGAUAUAGCAUGAUUUCAUGAAUGAUGUGUUGUUGAUGAACUUUGGUGUUUUAAUAUCUUGUUAUCUCUAUAUGAAAUGAAACAUUGGAAUUUGCAUGAUUUUGGUUGAUGAACAACAUGAUUUCUUGUUUAAGUUUCUUGUUGAAAACCAUAUUAAGUCGUUGGACAGAAUGGUGAGAUAAUCGAUU
rnacentral:lncRNA from 1 species